CAAGUCGAACGCGAAAGCCCCGCAAGGGGUAAGUAGAGUGGCAAACGGGUGAGUAACACGUGGGUGACCUGCCUUCGAGUGGGGGAUAACGUCCCGAAAGGGACGCUAAUACCGCAUAACAUGCUGCCUUUGAAGAGGCGGACAUCAAAGCUGGGGAUCGCAAGACCUAGCGCUGGAAGAGGGGCCCGCGUCCGAUUAGCUAGUUGGUGAGGUAAUGGCUCACCAAGGCAACGAUCGGUAGCCGGCCUGAGAGGGCGGACGGCCACACUGGGACUGAGACACGGCCCAGACUCCUACGGGAGGCAGCAGUGGGGAAUUGUUCGCAAUGGGCGCAAGCCUGACGACGCAACGCCGCGUGGAGGAUGAAGAUCUUCGGGUCGUAAACUCCUUUCGAUCGAGACGAAUUCCUUCCGGGUGAACAAUCCGGGAGGUUGACGGUACCGAGAGAAGAAGCCCCGGCUAACUCCGUGCCAGCAGCCGCGGUAAUACGGGGGGGGCAAGCGUUGUUCGGAAUUACUGGGCGUAAAGGGCUCGUAGGCGGCCAACUAAGUCGGACGUGAAAUCCCUCGGCUUAACCGGGGAACUGCGUCCGAUACUGGAUGGCUUGAGUUCGGGAGAGGGAUGCGGAAUUCCAGGUGUAGCGGUGAAAUGCGUAGAUAUCUGGAGGAACACCGGUGGCGAAGGCGGCAUCCUGGACCGACACUGACGCUGAGGAGCGAAAGCCAGGGGAGCAAACGGGAUUAGAUACCCCGGUAGUCCUGGCCCUAAACGAUGAAUGCUUGGUGUGGCGGGUAUCGAUCCCUGCCGUGCCGAAGCUAACGCAUUAAGCAUUCCGCCUGGGGAGUACGGUCGCAAGGCUGAA
rnacentral:rRNA from 1 species